rnacentral:rRNA from 1 species
CGGAGGAUCCAAGCGUUAUCCGGAAUUACUGGGCGUAAAGAGUUGCGUAGGUGGCAUAGUAAGCGGGCAGUGAAAUUGUGUGGCUCAACCAUACACCCAUUGUCUGAACUGCUAAGCUUGAGCACGAGAGAGGUAACUGGAAUUUCUAGUGUAGGAGUGAAAUCCGUAGAUAUUAGAAGGAACACCGAUGGCGUAGGCAGGUUACUGGCUCGUUGCUGACACUAAGGCACGAAAGCGUGGGGAGCGAACGGGAUUAGAUACCCCGGUAGUCCACGCCGUAAACUAUGCUUGCUAGCUGUUAGAAGUAUCGACCCUUCUAGUAGCGAAGCUAACGCGUUAAGCAAGCCGCCUGGGGAGUACGAACGCAAGUUU